GACAGUUUGGCCGAGUGGUCUAAGGCGCUAGCUUCAGGCGUUAGUCCGCAAGGGCGCGGGUUCGAAUCCCGCAGCUGUCA